AAAUUGAAGAGUUUGAUCAUGGCUCAGAUUGAACGCUGGCGGCAGGCCUAACACAUGCAAGUCGAGCGGUAGCACAGAGAGCUUGCUCUCGGGUGACGAGCGGCGGACGGGUGAGUAAUGUCUGGGAAACUGCCUGAUGGAGGGGGAUAACUACUGGAAACGGUAGCUAAUACCGCAUAAUGUCGCAAGACCAAAGUGGGGGACCUUCGGGCCUCAUGCCAUCAGAUGUGCCCAGAUGGGAUUAGCUAGUAGGUGGGGUAACGGCUCACCUAGGCGACGAUCCCUAGCUGGUCUGAGAGGAUGACCAGCCACACUGGAACUGAGACACGGUCCAGACUCCUACGGGAGGCAGCAGUGGGGAAUAUUGCACAAUGGGCGCAAGCCUGAUGCAGCCAUGCCGCGUGUGUGAAGAAGGCCUUCGGGUUGUAAAGCACUUUCAGCGGGGAGGAAGGCGGUGAGGUUAAUAACCUCAUCGAUUGACGUUACCCGCAGAAGAAGCACCGGCUAACUCCGUGCCAGCAGCCG
rnacentral:rRNA from 1 species